GGUGCGGUUCUAUGCGCGGCUGGUCACGCCGACCACCGCGACUGCCAUCCGUGCCCGUUUCUCGUGGUGUUCAUGUUCAGUGACAACAGAGAUUUCAUCACCUCCGCAUGCGUCUUCUCGUCCGAGACCGGUGUCUGGGGUGAGAUCACUUCGAUUGUUAUACCAGAUGCAUUAGUUCUGCCAAAGCCGACGGCUCUGGUUGGAAACACAAUCUACUUCCUGUUGGAUGACAAUAGCAUCAUUGAGUUUGUUUUGGAUAAGCAUGCCUUGGGUUUAGUUGAGGAGGUGCCAUGUACCUACGAUCAGAUUAUCAUCAUGCUAACAGAGGAUGGAUGCCUUGGUUUAGCUGGAGUGGAACGAUCCAAUUUCAACCUUAAUCUGUGGUCAAAGGUGGCAAGCAUUGACGGGGCGGUGACAUGGACACAUCAAAGGGUCAUUGAACUCGGAAAAAUUCUUGCGCCUGAAGCAGUGUCGGUUUGUAUGGCUGGGGGUAUUGGAGCGCAUGCAGUUGGCUGUGCGGUAGAUGCGGAUGUGAUUUUCAUCGAUGUGUAUCCUAGCAUCUACAUGAUCCAUCUCAAGUCCAUGAAGAUCAAGGAGGUGUCGAAGGAACGGAUCGGCAGACAAUAUGUUUUUCCUUACACAAGUUUCUACGUUCCAGGAAUUACCAUUCGUGGUGCAAAUGAUCAAGUUGAACUGCUGAACAACAGUUGAGAUGAUUGUGCUGUUACAUCUGCUGAUACACUUUGGUUGUUGAAGAGGUUUCCGCCGAGCGGUGAAUGUGGCUGUUAAUGAACUACUAUUCCUUGAGAAAUGUGUCACUCACUUGCAAAACGUGAGGAAAUUUGUGGCUUUAAUAAUGCUCUGUAGCACAUUCGUGCUGAACCAAUAUGUUAGGUUUUUCUUCAGAGAUUCCCAUGGCUUUGUGAGCUCUAUGAUCCCCCGCUAAAAAUUGUCAUAGUUUGUUCUUUCCUUUUUUGUGGUACCAUCGCAAUGUUGUAUAAUGCGCAAAGUUGAACUCUGCUUGUGUGAUGGCAUGGCAAUAUGACAGCUGCUAUACCUGGGA